rnacentral:lncRNA from 1 species
AUGGACCCUGACAAGAGUGGUGAUUUUGAUAGUUAAUUAUGAACUAAUAAUUUGGACUAACAACGUGUGCUAGUAUAUAAGGUACAUUAGUCCAUAGGUUAUAAAGAUGGACUUGAGCUAGACUAACGUGAAGAUCUCAAACAAUCAUUAUUUAGGAACCCAGUAUAGGUGCUCACACAAUUUCUGCUAGUUAAAGUGCCG